UUCAAUGAUAAGCCUCACCUCACAUUUCACAAAGUCAAUACCAUCCAAAACAAGUAAACAACAAUCAACACUGUAAAGAAUAAAUAUUUUAAUAAUAAAAGAUAACUCAUAAGCUAAAAAGCCACUACUAUAAUAGGCAAAAAAAAUAAACAAUAACGUAUUCAAAAGUGGUCAAAAAAUUCUAGCCAUGGUUACCACCAUUAGUGAUAUCCAAUGCUACUCCUUCCUCUUCUUUGUAUCUCUCAUCACAACCUUCCUAAUCCGAUCCAUUCUCAGCAAAUCCACCAAGGUAACCACGAAUUCUCACCAUCUUCCUAGCCCACCAGCCCUCCCAAUCAUUGGUCAUCUCCACCUUCUUGGUCCAUCCUUAUACAAAUCCCUCCACAACCUGUCUAACAAAUAUGGCCCUCUUCUCUAUCUCCGCUUUGGUGCAUCACACUGCCUACUUGUUUCUUCAGCCUCUGUUGCUUCUGAAAUAUUCAAAUCCCAAGACCUUGCCUUUGCUUCUAGGCCAAGAUUUGCCUUUUCUGACAAGUUACUCUAUGGAACUUCAGGGUUUGUCACUGCUCCAUAUGGUGAUUACUGGAGGUUCAUGAAGAAACUUUGUGUGACUGAACUUCUUGGCACAAAACAGCUUGAGCGUUCCCUCUUUGUUCGGCGAGAACAAAAAGAGAGGUUGUUGAAGAGAAUGUUGGAGAGUGCAAGGAAGAAAGAUGAUGUUGAUGUGGGUGUGGAAGUGAUGAAGUUCACAAACACUGUGACUUGAAGGAUGGCCAUGAGUACUAGUUGUUUGGAGCAAGAAGGAGAGGCAGAAAAGAUUAGAGAUCUAGUGAUGGAGUCCUUUAAGCUGGCUGCAAAGAUGUGCUUUGGGGAUGUGUUAGGGCCUUUCAAGAAAUUGGGGUUUUGGGUGUUUGGGAAACAGGCUUUGGAUUUGACUAGGAGGUACGAUGAGUUAUUGGAGAGGGUGUUGAAGGAUCACGAAGUGAGAAGGAGCAAAAAUGGGGGCGAGAGAGAAGAUAAGGAUUUGAUGGAUAUACUCUUGGACGUUUGUCAUGAUGAGAAGGCCGAGGUUAAGAUUACAAGAACCCAUAUCAAGGCCUUCUUUGUGGAUCUCUUCAUUGCAGGCACUGGCACCUCAGCAGAGUCAAUGCAGUGGGCAAUAGCUGAGCUCAUUAAUCAUCCUAGUGUCUUCAAAAAGGUUAGAGAGGAAAUAGAAUCAAUUGUGGGAAAGACUAGACUAGUUGAAGAGUCAGAUAUCCCAAAUCUCCCUUACUUGCAAGCAGUUGUAAAGGAAACACUAAGACUAUACCCACCAGGCCCUGUCACAACAAGAGAAUGCCGCCAAAAUUGCAAAAUCAAUGGCUAUGAUAUACCAGAAAAAAUUGCAGUGGCAAUCAAUCUUUAUGCCAUUAUGAGGGAUCCAGACUCCUGGGAUGAUCCCAAUGAGUUCCGCCCGGAAAGGUUUUUGGUUUCACUCAAUGAGCAAGAGAAAUUAGACCAAUGUCAAGUUGAAGGAAAGGGACAAACCUUCAAUUUUGUACCAUUUGGGGCAGGAAGGAGAGGGUGUCCAGGAACAGCAUUGGCAUUUAGUAUGAUACAUACCGCAGUCGCAGCAUUGGUUCAAUGCUUUGAUUUGAAGGUUAGUGGAGAAGAAUAUGGAACUAAGGUUGAUAUGCAACCUGGACCAGGCAUGUCAUUGAGCAUGGCUCGCCGACUUAUAGUUCGUCCUAUUGUUCACUUCAAUCCAUUUACUGCUUCUAUAUAAUCAUAUAAGCAUAAACAAUUGCCCUUGUUAUGUAUGUAUGUCCAAUAAACUAGGUAUUUGGUUCUUUACUCAACAUCGUAUCUGCAACUAUCUUUCUAUGUCAAGCACCAGUUGGUGAUGUAGGUCAUUAAUUUUGUUUGACAUGGUACUUUAAUAUUA